rnacentral:misc_RNA from 1 species
GAAAUGCGAUAAGUAAUGUGAAGUGCAGAAUUCAGUGAAUCAUCGAAUCUUUGAACGCACCUUGCGCUCCUUGGUAUUCCUUGGAGCAUGCCUGGUUGAGUAUCAUGAAAUCUUCAAAGUAAAUCUUUUGUUAACUCAAUUGGUUUCUACUUUGGUAUUGGAGGUCUUUGCAGCUUCACACCUGCUCCUCUUUGUUCAUUAGCUGGAUCUCAGUGUUAUGCUUGGUUCCACUCGGCGUGAUAAGUUAUCUAUCGCUGAGGACACUGUAAAAGGUGGCCAAGGUAAAUGCAGAUGAACCGCUUCUAAUAGUCCAUUGACUUGGACAAUACUUUUAUGAUCUGAUCUCAAAUCAGGUAGGACUACCCGCUGAACUUAAGC